rnacentral:rRNA from 1 species
GACGAACGCUGGCGGCGUGCCUAAUACAUGCAAGUCGAACGGAAAGGCCCGGCGCUUGCGGCGCGCUCGUGUGGCGAACGCGUGUGAAUCACGCGUGUAUACCCUCCCUGACAGUGGGAUAUCUCUAGGAAACACGGGAGCUAAUCCCGUAUGAGCUUCUGCUGCACGUGGGGGGUUGGAAAGAUUCGGCGGUUCGGGAUGGACUCGCGGCCUAUCAGCUUGUUGGGCGGGUAGUGACUUACCAAGGCUUUGACGGGUAGCCGGCCUGGGAGGGUGACCGGCCACAUUGGGACUGAGGUAGGGCCCAGACUGCUACGGGAGGCAGCGGUGGAAAAUAUUGCGCAAUGGGCCGAAGCCUGAUACAACGGCGCCGCGUGCGGAAUGACGGCUUUCGGGGUAUAAACCGCUUUCGACUGUAAAGAAGCGUGAGUGACGGUAAUUGAUAAGAAAGCAACGGCUAACUACGUG